GAUGAAGAACGUAGCGAAAUGCGAUAACUAAUGUGAAUUGCAGAAUUCAGUGAAUCAUCGAGUCUUUGAACGCACAUUGCGCCCCCUGGUAUUCCGGGGGGCAUGCCUGUCCGAGCGUCAUUGCUGCCCUCAAGCACGGCUUGUGUGUUGGGCUCCGUCCCCCCGGGGACGGGUCCGAAAGGCAGCGGCGGCACCGAGUCCGGUCCUCGAGCGUAUGGGGCUUUGUCACCCGCUCUGUAGGCCCGGCCGGCGCCAGCCGACAACCAAUCAUCCUUUUUUCAGGUUGACCUCGGAGCAGGUAGGGAUACCCGCUGAACUUAAGCAUAUCAAUAAGCGGAGGA
rnacentral:misc_RNA from 1 species